rnacentral:lncRNA from 1 species
ACGGAGGAAGGGAUUCUGAGCAGAGACGGGGCUGGAGGUCAAGACGGACACACUGGCUACAGUCAAGUCACGAGCAAUCCCGAAAGGCACGUAAGAGUUGCUUGUGCCUGAGACAGAGCCGUGAUUAAAGGAAUACAUUAGCAUGCAGACUCAUUUGAUAAGCUGAGACUCAACUCAAUGGCUGCAUCUGAUGCUCACUUUCCUGUGAUUAGGUAAGUGUCUGCCCC